ensembl:snRNA U6 U6 spliceosomal RNA
GUGCUCACUUGGACAGCACUUAUACUAAAAUUAGAACCACACAGAGAAGAUCAGCGUAGCCCCUGCACAAGGAGAACACAAGUUUGUGAAGCAUUCCAUAGUUUU